rnacentral:rRNA from 1 species
UACGUAGGGUGCAAGCGUUAAUCGGAAUUACUGGGCGUAAAGCGCACGUAGGUGGUUUACUAAGCCAGCUGUGAAAUCCCCGGGCUCAACCUGGGCACUGCAGUUGGAACUGGUAAGCUAGAGUAGGGUAGAGGGGUGUGGAAUUCCAGGUGUAGCGGUGAAAUGCGUAGAUAUCUGGAGGAACAUCAGUGGCGAAGGCGACACCCUGGACUCAUACUGACACUGAGGUGCGAAAGCGUGGGGAGAACAGG